CUCCUGAAUUGCAGGCAGAUGCUUUACCCUCUGAGCCACCAGGGAAGUCCUUUUUCUUUAAAGGUGCCUACUUUUGAAUUGGGGUUGGAGACACACUUAUAGGAGACAGAGGAAACAGAAGCCAAAGUUCUAAACAGUAUGAAUCAAGUUCUCUGUAUAAUAGGGAAGGACUAGUGUUAUCCUAAAGUAAGGCUUUGGGGAAAAUUUCAGCUGUGAGACCCAGAAUAGUCUUUUAGAUUCUUCCAGUUAUUGAAAUUAACAUAGGAAAAGGAGGAAGGGAGGCAGCUCAAGUCAUGGGAUGAAGGAAACUCCAUCAAUUGAGGUGAUUGUAGAUACCCAGCAAGAACUACAAUGACUACUAUCCAUGAAGACUUCAAGGUACAUAUGAAAGCCCUACUAGUGCCCUUAGAGGUUUGGAGAAAGAGCUCUGAGGGUGGAUACUUCAGAGUCCUAAAAGGUAGAAUGCUGGAGGAAGUGGGGCAUGAGAAGGCUCUAGGCCAAGAAGAAAUUCCAGCUCUCCUAAGGUUGAAGAGCAUCUGGGGAAGAGGGAGUGGAGAUGGGCCUAGAGUUUGAGCUGUCUUCGACCCACCCAGGAGCCCCAGGCAGGUGAAGAGCCCAUCUUUGUCUUGUGGAGUAAGGAUCCUAGGAAGAUGAGGAGCCAAGAAAAGCACCAAGCACCCAGCUGCCUGAGUGUAAGAACAGAAGGAAGACUCAUGUUUUGAUCUGGAAUUUGGCUUUGGCAGAGUGACUUUUUGGAAGGACAAGGAAGAGAGACAAUUGAAGGGACAAGAAAACUCUCCUGCUCAACCUGGAGGAAGAGCUGAUGAUGGAAGCAUGACGUCUACUCAGGAAAUACAAAGAAGUUCUCCCCCUCUCCACUUUUCCUUUGAUUAUAAA